rnacentral:tRNA from 1 species
CGGGAAGUAGCUCAGCUUGGUAGAGCACUUGGUUUGGGACCAAGGGGUCGCAGGUUCGAAUCCUGUCACCCCGA